rnacentral:lncRNA from 1 species
AAAAACAGAGGGAAAAACAAAGUGAGAAAAAACCAAGGAAAAGAAAAAAAACAAGCAAGGAAAACAAAAGAAAAGCCGGGAUGAUGCAUGCAGCCGUUGAUGUGUGACUGCCUAUACGUAUUUGUCUCAAAACUAACCGUUCACUGUUGUCAUUUCCUGAGUCCGUGUUUAUAGAAACAGGUGGUUGGUUUUGUGGUAAACUGGCUUCGCACCACUACUUUACUAGAGAUGUCGUUAGAAAUGACCCUGCCAACAAUUGCUAUUUCGAAAGAUAGCCCAUUCUUGGGCGUUCCG